rnacentral:rRNA from 1 species
AGCGAACGCUGGCGGCAGGCCUAACACAUGCAAGUCGAACGAACCCUCCGGGGUUAGUGGCGGACGGGUGAGUAACACGUGGGAACGUGCCUUUAGGUUCGGAAUAACUCAGGGAAACUUGUGCUAAUACCGAAUGUGCCCUUCGGGGGAAGGAUUUAUCGCCUUUAGAGCGGCCCGCGUCUGAUUAGCUAGUUGGUGAGGUAAUGGCUCACCAAGGCUACGAUCAGUAGCUGGUCUGAGAGGAUGACCAGCCACAUUGGGACUGAGACACGGCCCAAACUCCUACGGGAGGCAGCAGUGGGGAAUCUUGCGCAAUGGGCGAAAGCCUGACGCAGCCAUGCCGCGUGGAUGAUGAAGGUCUUAGGAUUGUAAAAUCCUUUCACCGGUGAAGAUAAUGACUGUAGCCGGAGAAGAAGCCCCGGCUAACUUCGUGCCAGCCGCCGCCGUAAGAC